UCCAUAAGGUGAGGGUGGAGUAAGUUUUGCAUAACCGGUGAUGAAACUGUGUAUUUGUAAUUGAAUUAGUUGAAUAAGAAACACAAGCAGAAAAGUGGCAGCAGUGUGGAGUGGUGUUAAGAGCCAGUCUCUGGAGGUGAGUAGCCUAAAUUUAAAUCCCGGCUCUGCCACUCACCAUGGCAAAUUACUUUAUCUCUAUGCGCUUUAGUUUCUUCACCUGCAGAAUUGGGGAGAAGAGCACCUAUCACAGGAGGUUGUGUGGGAUUUGUUAACAUAUGUAGGAUGCUUUACGUAGACAUGUCCAGUAAAUAGCAGAGCAAUACAUUGGCAUUUGCUAUUACCAUUAUUAUUAGUAGUAAUAGUAGUAUUUAACAAAAUAAUAUGACCAGAAAUCAAGGUUAAGGAGGAGGUUUAACUACAGAUCUCCCCUGACCUUCGGUGGGGUUAUGUCCCCAUAAUUACAUCCUAAGUUGAAAAGGUCUGAAGUCAAAAUGCAUUUAAUACACUUAACCUACUGAACAUCAGUCUGCCUACCUACCUGCCUACCUAAAUGCACUCAGAACACCUACGCCUACACCUACAUUAACUACCCUUGGUCAAAAUCAUCUAACGCAAAGCCGGUUUUAUAAUAGUGUUUGGAUACCUCAUGUAAUUUAUUGAAAACUGUACUGAAAGGGAAAAGCAGAAUGAUUUUAAGUGCAUCCUCUGUUUACUCUUGUGAUCUAGUGGCCGACUGGGAGCUGCUGCCCAGCGUCCCGAGAAUACCCUACGGCACGUCACUAGCCUGGGAACAGAUCCACAUAAGAUUCGAAUUUUUCCUCAGGAAGCUAUCAGAAGAUGUGUUCCAUCAAAACUCAGGGAGUAAACCUAAGGGAAAAAAAGAUAAAGGAAUCAGAUAACAGAGCCCAUCAUAAAAGGGAGGCGAAGGAAAUUCCUAGGAUGAUGGUGAAGCAGAAUUCCAGCAUGACAACUAUGCAUCAGAUUGGGACAGCUAACCAACCAGUCCAGAUUGGAGCAGGUCUGAAGGUGAAACUGACAGAUGAAUUGUCUAUGUGUUUGAGGAAAUUUACAAAAUAGGAGAGUCUGAUGUUGAAUCAGUGAUAAAUACAACGAGAACCAAGCAGAGAAAAAAACUAGAUCAUUAUGAACACCAAGAAAAAUAAAAUACUCUAUUGGAAUAAGUAAUCAUAGUAGAUACAUGGCUUAACUGUAAAUACAUCUGUAUAAACAUAGUAAUGUAAACACUAAA